UAAGUUGGAGAUUGAAACAGAGAUCAAAGCAGUUGCUGAUGAGUUCUUUAAAAUCUUCAGGAGCCAAGCACACCACCUGCCUAAUAUCUGUUCCGAUAAAAUACACAAAAUCUAGGUACAUGAAGGUGACUGGGAGACUCAGGGAUCCGUCAAGCAUUGGAUGUUCAAAUUGAUGAAUGGUAGUUUUUCAUUCAUACUUUCUUUCGUUCAUAUACAGAGUAUAUAUAGAGGGUAAUCACCAUUCUAAGAAUGAGAAAGGAUGAUACAAGGAAAGAAUAAUAUAAGGAAAUAACAACUAAUAUCCUAAUAUCUCAACUUUCCUAAUAUCUCAAUAUUCCUAAUAUCUUAAUAUUCAUAAUAUCUUAACUUUCCUAAUAUCUAAACACUAAAUGAUAUAAGGAAAUAAUGAUAUAAGGAAAACAUUCCUAAUAUCUCAACACUCCCCCUCAAGUUGGUGCAUAGAUGUCACACAUGUCCAACUUGUCUAAAAUUUUUUGAGAAUACUUGACUUGAGACAGCUUUGGUGAGGAUAUCGACUAACCAAUCUUACUUUCCACCUUGGAUCAACUAAGGCUUCUUGCACAUUGUUAGGAAUAACUACAGUAAAUAAUUGAUUUACAAAUGACUUAUUUGAUUCAGACAAACGAUGGUUAGACACAUAGUUGCUCAUGGGAUAUUUGACUUUGGUAGACAAAUCAGGUUCAUAUGUGGGUUUAGGAAUACCAAGAUUAUGACGAUGUGGUAACCGUUUCAUGAAUGGAUCGGGUUCCAAAUUAAGAACACCCUCAACAGACGACGAUUGGUUUGAUAUUUCAGUGAAGACAUCUUCAGACCCAAAUUGUUGACCUCUCAUAUCCAACUCACCCACUUCCUGGUUCACUAGUUCAGAUUGUCCAGAUUCAUUCUCCUUAGAGAUAUGAUAAUCAUAAUCAAGAGUCUGAAUUUCCUUAUGGUACUCCCCCUGAAGUUCAGACUCAGAUGAAAAUUACAUCGAAUCUUCAUGAAACACCACAUCCAUUGUAAUAUACAUUUGUCGAGUUGGAGGAUGGUAACAUCGAUAUCCCUUUUUGUGCAAUGCAUAUCCAACAAACACACAUUGCAAUGCAUGGGAAGUUAACUUAGUGCGUUGGUGCUUGUGUAGAUGCACAAAUGCCACGCAACCAAAAACACGAGGAGGUAGAUUUGGGACGGUUGGGGCAACUACGACAUUAGUAAGAGCUUGGAGAGGUGUUUGAAAGUUAAUUGAGCUAGAAGGUACCCGAUUGAUCAAGUAUACGGCAGAUGUGAUUGCUUCUCCCCAAUAAGAUAUCGGUGUUUUUGCUGCUAUCAAGGAAGCACGAAAAACCUCUAACAAGUGCCGAUUUUUUCGUUCAACGACUCCAUUUUGCUGGGGUGUAUUGGAACAAGUAGUUUGAUGAAUGAUGCCAUGUCCUUCCAAAUACUUUUGAAGAUCAGAACUUUGAUAUUCUCCACCAUUAUCACUACGCAGAACCCGAACCUUUGCAUUGUAUUGAGUUUCAAUCAUUUUAUGAAAUUUUUGAAACAACAAGUUCACUUCAUCUUUGGUCUUCAUCAAGUAUAACCAUGUCAUUCUGGUACAAUCAUCAAUAAAAGUAACAAACCAACGCGAACCACUCAAAGUUGGGACUUUGGAUGGGCCCCAAACAUCAGAAUGUAUAAUCAUAAAAGGAGACGGACUUUUAUUCAAAAUUAAUGGAAAGGAAGCACGAUGGCUUUUAGCCAAUUCACAAAUAUCACAACGGAAACCAGAAAUAUCACUCUUUGCAAACAAACUAGGAAAUAAUUUUUUUAAAUAUCCAAAGGAAGCAUGUCCCAAACGUCGAUGCCACAACCAAAUUUCAGACUUUUUCUUCUCUUCCUCAGAUCCAUCUGCCAUCAAGGCUUGUCGCAACUUAUUUGAAUCAUUUGACUGCAAGUCCAAAUAAUAGAGUUUUCCCCGCUUAAUACCAAAACCAAUCGUCUGUCUUGUUUGGAUGUCCUUAAAAACACAAAAUUCAGGCCAAAAAAUGACAAUACAAGAUAAGACUGCAGUGAUUUGAGAAACUGACAAAAGAUUGUAAUUUAAGGAUGGAACAACUAAAAUAGAAUCCAAAUUCAAAGUAUCAGUAAGAGUUAAGGAUCCUUCCCCAAUGACUGGGGUUGUGUUACCAUUGGCUGUGGAAACAAAUUUUUGUGAGGAAGGUCUAACGGGUGAGACUUGUCUAGAAUCAAAAGUCAUAUGAUCUGUAGCACCAGAAUCAAUUAUCCAUGCAUUAUUAAUAACAGGUGUAGAAGUAUUUAAAAACUUACCACCAUAAUCUGUAGCGGCUAUCAAUGCAGAGGCUUUCUCAUCAACAUUAGCCUCUGUUUUUAUUUCGGCAAUAGCUGCAGUCGAGGUUUUCUUGGAAUUCUUCUUCUGUUGAUCACGAUUGUGAUCCCACCAGUCUGGAUAUCCCACAAUUUCAAAGCAACGACUCUUGGUAUGACCAGUCUUAUUGUAGUGAGUGCAUUUGAAGGUUGACUUAUCAAUAUUAUGGUCUGUCUUAGGAUGAUUGGUCUUGGAUUGGUCCUGCCAAUUUCGGGUUAAUUGUUGUCGGACUACCAUAGCUGAGGUGUCAGGGUUGUCAGAUUCUGCUUUCAUACUAGCAUGACGUAAUGCCUCUCGUUGAAUCAGUGCAUAGCAUUCUUCCAAAUAGGGAAGAGGAUCUUUGCGUAGAAUCUCUCCUCAAACUUGCUCAAAGUCACCACCCAAUCCAGCAAGAAAGAUGUGCACCCGUUGUCGUUCAAUGGAUUUCCGGUAUGCUGCAAUGUCUUCAGGGUCUUUCAUGACUACCUUCUCCCGAUGAUCCAAUUCGCAAAAAAGUUCAAUUAACUCUCCAUAAUAUUCAGAAAGAGACCUGCCGUUUUAUUUGGCAGUGAAGACUUUUUGAUUCAAAGUGAAAACUUGUAAUUCAUCACUUUCAUCAUAGAAGGCCUUUGAUAAUGCACUCAAAAUUUCUUGAGCGGUGGGUAAGCGUAAGUAAUGCUUCAUAAUUUCUGGACUCAUGGACAUUAACAACCAUCUCUUCACCUUUUGAUUCUCAGCAUACCAUUUUUCAUAUCCAUCUUCUGACUCUUUUGGUAGAUUUGUCUUACCUCGGAUGUAGGAAAGUUUUUCCCGUUCGGCAAUAUGCAUCUCCACGAGUUGUGACCAAACGUCAUAGUUUGAUUUAGUCAAAAUAAUUCCUGAAUUGAAAGUACCUUCAGAUUGAAAAACAAUAAUACUUUUUUCACUCAUUUUUUUUUUCUCUCGCAAAGAAGGGGCAAUUGUUGGCCUUACAACAAAAUAUCCAGGAUUUCAGGAACCUAGCUCUGAUACCAUGUUCAAAUUGAUGAAUGAUAGUUUUUCAUUCAUACUUUCUUUCGUUCAUGUACAGAGUAUAUAUAGAGGGUAAUCACCAUUCUAAGAAUGGGAAAGGAUGAUACAAGGAAAGAAUAAUAUAAGGAAAUAACAACUAAUAUCCUAAUAUCUCAACUUUCCUAAUAUCUCAAUAUUCCUAAUAUUUCAAUAUUCAUAAUAUCUUAACUUUCCUAAUAUCUAAACACUAAAUGAUAUAAGGAAAUAAUGAUAUAAGGAAAGCAUUCCUAAUAUCUCAACAUUGGAGUUACACCAUUGGUAUAACAUGCAACUCAAACUCAGAACUCCAAAACACUAGCUGGCAUUAUAUUCUGCUAAAAUAUUUUUUGAUGUUUAUCUUUCAUUUCAUUGUUGUUUUCUUCACCUCUCAAAUUUUCUUUUAUAAUAAAUGCAUGCCUCUUUGUACUUUUUUUUUUCUUGCAAAGAAGUGACUAUAAUCGAUGGUUCUUAGUAAUGUAUAUGGCAUCUAAUAAUAGCUUUAACAUAUUCCAAUUAUGUUUAACCUCACAUUUUGGUUUGAACUAGGAGGGAAUUCUAAGAGUAUUAAGGAGACUGUGGAAUCAAAAGAUGAAGAGAACAGGUCCAUCACGUUCAAGGUUUUGGAUGGGGAGCUGUUGAACGACUACAAGAGCUACAAGUUCACCACACAAGCGAUACCAAAGGGGGAGGGCUGCUUGGUGAAAUGGACCGCUGAAUAUGAGAAGGCAAGUGAGGAUGGAUCAGAUCCCCGUGGCUACCUGGAGCUUGCAGUUAAUAUCACCAAAGAUAUCGAAAGUCACCUUCUCAAUGCAUAACGCCAAGACCAUAUGUACCGUUUGCUAGUAUUUCUCUCUUAAAUAAAGUUUGGAACUUGGAUGUGCAUCUAUGUACUAUCUCGACCUUUUAAUAAACGCAAAUUCCAGCUGUACUGGAGUUGGUGACUAAUGCCGAGAAGACAAACUAGGUUCCCGAUCCUCAGUUAUUUAUGCAAUAAUAUUAAUUAGUGCAUGCGUGUGAUUAGUUGUAUGGUUCUGGGAGUUGCUUUGUGAUUGUUAAUCGGUGUCUUUUGUAGUGGGAUUAUUACAUGCAUGUAAUGUGAAGAACAUAUGAUCCAUGAGGAAAUAAAUUAAAUGAAAAUUACCCAGGCUCCAUCAUGAGGAGCCUUUGAGCAUGCCCACAAGCCUACGUUCCUGCAUUCAAGUCACAUAUGUGAAAAUUCCACUUUGCACAUAAUCUAAAUAAUUUAUCUAAAAAUCUAAGAAGUAAUCUCUCUCUCCAUCUAUGUCUCUCUCUCCCCAUCUAUAUGUACCUCAAAUGAAGAGGUAAGGUAAUGUAAAAUCCCCACCUCAAAUUUAGGGAUAUUUAUAUAAUUUGAAAAUUUUAAAAAGACCUACAUUAAUUUUGUAAAUAUUUAUGUAAUCAACUUUCUCAGAUUAAUUAAAUAAAAAAUUGACCAAGAUGAUUAAAAAUGCAAAUUUGAUGAGGACAUGAAGUAAAAAGUGGUAGGGUUUAAGGACAAUGGCUUCUACUGAAUUUUGGUGAGGUGGUGAUACAAUGAGGAAAAUAGAUUAAUAAAGUUUAUCCAUGGAAAUAGAAAAUAGAAAACAAAAAAUAUAAAAUAAUAAUAAUAUUCAUGUUAAUCAUUUAAUAAAUAUAAUAAAUGCAAUUAUAUAUGCUAAGUGAAAAUAACAAUAUUAUUAUUAUUAUUAUUAAUGCUUAUGAUAGGUGAGAAUUAAGUCUUUUAGAAAUUUGAGUAAUUUUUUCAAGGUAAAGCUUAUAGUUCAUUAAGUCAUUUUAUAAUUCCUUAUAUAUUUUUUUAUUGAUUUUUAAAGUAUCAAAAUGUGUAAAUUCUUUAAAGUGGAUCAAAUAGUUUUUUUUUUUUUUGAAAUAUUUUGUGAUUUGUUUGGUUGUUAUGAAAGUGAAUUUUAUUACUUAAUUUAUUAUAAUGAUUUUAAAACUCUAGUUAUUAGUGGUUUUAGUCAACAAGGAUAAGUUAUUAACCUUCUUUACCUUUGGUCAGUGAAGGGAUGUAGUAUAACACUAGCCAAUAAAUGUGUCAUUGGUCUUGUAUACUAUUGAUUAGAAAUUGUUAUGUCCACCAAUGAGAGUAUUAAAGUGAGGUGAGCCACCUAAUGUAAGUCCCAAUAUUUGGGCACAACGUUAUUAUUAAUUAAUAAACAAAAAUAAAUAGUUUAUUUAUAAAAAUUUUUUUCUAAAUAUAAAUUGAGUAUGCAAAUUGUAUUUUUUAAUUCUAUCUUUAAAUUUAAAGUGUUUAAUCUUUUGAAGAAAGUGAAUUUAAUUUUUUGAAGAAAGUGAAUUUAAUUUUUGAAUUAAAUAAAUUAACCUGAUAAUUGAUUUUUAUAAAAAUUUGAUAUCUCUUAGAAUUUAAUUCUCUACAAUAUAUACCUGAUUUUUUUCAUUGAACUAUUUUUUCUUAUUGAACCAUUGAAGUCACCCUUCUUUAUUAUUCCCCUUUUCAUAUACAAAUGGUAUAAGUGAGAAGGGAUUACGGGAGGAGAAAUGUUUCUAUUAUAAACAACUUUGGAAUUGAAUUAUGUUGGAUUGUGAAACGUGAAUCGGUUUAAUUUAUUGUAUUUUGCAAGGAAUGCUAGAGGUCGAGUGUCUAAUUGAGCUUGCGGGGAUCAAGAGUCUUGAUCGGUUCGUUGGGACUUGGGAUUGAGUUGUCCAAUCAGCUCAUGGGGUUAAAGGAAUAUCCUUCGAUUUUUUUUAAUACGAUGAAUAACGAGUUUGUCCUAAUUGUAUAUUUAAUCUUAUUAUAAUUUAAAGUUUCUUUUUAGAGAGUGUGUGACUGCAAUCGAAAGGAUAAUGAGUGUUUAGUACUCGUCUUAUUUUUUUCUGAACCAAAUUAAAAAUCUAUUGUUUUUCUUUAUUUUCUAAUCGUGUGUGCAUGAUUUGAUCAACAAAUUAUUUAUAGGAUUGUUUACUUAAAUUUGAUUGUAAUUUAUUUAAGUUUUUAGGAGAAUCAUUAAAUUUAUUAUUACAAUAUUUUAUUAGUUUUGAAUUUGUUAUUUAAAGUGAUUCAUUUACUUGGUUCAAAGGUUUGACAUAUAAAGUCACCGUGGUUCCCUUGGUGUCGCGGGUGAUUUUGUAAGUGCCUUCGGACUACAGAAUAUUAAUUAACCUACCAAUCUUCAAUGUAAUCUAAGAUGCAGAAAGAUCUUGUGGGUUAAGGUCAAGUGGGCGCUUCAAUAUUUAUCAUGUCUUCAAAAAAAACUUCAGGGCCCCAGUCCAGAUUCUCAGAUAUGGAUUCUAACAGUUGCUACCAAUCACGGGGGUGAAAACAAAUCAGUGUCGCAGAAAUCGCUAUCAAUGUGGUACUGGAAAAAAAAGAAGAGAUUCCUCCACUUGUUCUUGAAAUUUAUCUGAACGCAUGCAAUAAAUCAAUGCUCCAUAAUCUCCUGCACAUGCAAAUUAAAAUCAAAAUCAGGCCAUUGGCCUCUCACAUUACCAUUCUUGGCCGUUUUCUGGUGUGCAUAUAAAGAGUAAUAACCACACCAUCCAUCUUUUACUCUGGUUGUCACACUCCCACCACUCUCCCACCACUUCUUCCCUAAUCUCCUAACAUCAAAUACAAAAAUGCCACAUCCUUAUUAUUGAAAAUUAAAUUCCCAUACAUAUAAAUCUUAUGCCAGAUUUUUUGUUGAUUGGAUGAUAUUCGGCCAUAUAAAAUUCAGUAUCAAUCACAAACAUUCGUUAUCCAAUCUUGAUACCGAAGAGGAUAGAGUAUCAAUCCAUCUAUGGGCCCGGUGCACCAGGCCUUCCGCCUAUAAAAGUUUUCUAGGGUGGUGAACUAUAUUCUUCAAACACAGCCUUGGCUAGUUACUAUCUGGUUUCCAAAGAAAGAAGAAAUGGCUCAGAUAGAUAAGAUGGAAACCCAUGUAGAGAAAAAGUCCCCUGCCAAUGAGUUCUACGAGGUCUUCAGCAGCAAAGCUCAUCUCAUUCCCAAGGCCUGCCCUGACAAAAUCAAGAGCAUCGAAGUGGUUGAAGGUGAUUGGAAGAGUGUGGGCUCUGUCAAGCUCUGGACUUACUGUAUCGGUAAGGCAACGCUAACCAUUAUUCCCAUGCCACCCUCAAUCAAACAAAAUAAUACACUCAGCACAUGGACCUUCUUGUUUUUAAUUAUUAUUGCUGUGGAAGAUAAUAAUAACAAAACAAAGGGAAUGACCCCUUCUGAUACGGGUGCCUCCUCAUAUUAGUUUUUUGAAGUUCUCCAUGCAAACUAAAGUAGAAAUCAAUCUUUAGGCACAUCCCUUAUCUGAGCUUCACAUGACCUUAGUUUCAUUUUAAAUUAACCUGCAGGAGGAAAUACUUCGUCUAGCAAGGAGAGGGUGGAAAAGAAAGACGAUAAGAACAAGUCCAUCACUUUCAAGGCUCUGGAUGGAGAGGUCAUGAAGGAUUUCAAGAGCGUCAUCUCCAUCCUUGAAGUGAGUGCAAAGGAUGACGGCAGCCUGGUGAAAUGGACUUUGGAAUAUGAGAAGUCAAAUGAGAAACUCCUACCUCCAGAUGCUUACCUCAGCCUUGUAAUUAGUAUGAGUAAAGAAAUCGACGCUUACCUUCUCAAGGCAUAAGCCGCAUAACAAGCCCUAUAUCCUUGACUUGAUAUGAAAGCAUCCUAGCCUGGGUCCUCCUGGGAAUAACGGAGUUGCUAUGCGUACCUCCAUAUUAUAUUAUCGACACCUACUGGCUACUGCUGUACUCCAUGUAACUUCUUGCUGUACUUAAUUAUAUGAGCUUCCUGAAUUAAUGUUGGAAUGAUAAAUCAAGCUUUAUGGUAGAAUCAAAUGAUUGCUCUAUCAUGGAAUAAAUUUCGCAAUAAAAAUAAAUAUUAGAGGAGAGUUAUGAAACGAAGCUUUUUUUUCUGCAUCAAAUUAACUUUUCAUACACUGUUUUUAAAACAAAUCAACAUACAAUGAUCUUAUGUUGUACCUUUUCCGUUGCAGAUUGCUUUUAAAAAUGUUCUCCCCACAGGCACUUCUAUGGUAUCUUUUCAAAAUUGCUAUUAUAUAUGUUUAAUUAACCAUUCAUUUUGGUCUAAAGCUAGGACGAACUUCUAAGACUGCCACGGAGACUCUGGAAAUCAACAGAUGAAGAAAAAAAUAAAAUAUAUCCAUGACUUCCAAGGUUUUGGAAGCAGAGGUCAUGAAUCAUUUCAAGAAGAUUCAAGUCAUCCAUGCAAGUAACAGCAAAGGAUAAGCGCAGCUAGGUGAAAUGGAGACUGGAUAUUGAGGGUCACUAUCUCAGAUUCUCAAGGCAUAGCAUUAAAAACAUAUCCUUUAAUUGGUAGUAUAAUCUCAAACUUGUAUGUAAAGACCAGACCGUGGAAGUGCAUAUAUGCAUUUUAUUCUUCAAUAAGCGCAGGCUUAGGGGGUAGUUCAAUAACCUCUGGGCUUAGUCAAUCCCGAGAAGAUAUUAAUAAAUUUCCCUGGAUUAUUCCUCUCAUGAAUAUCAGUGCCUGUAAUUUGGUUGUGUGCUAACGGGAGUUGCCUCUUGCGAUCGGUUGGGUUCUUUAAUAAACGCAUUAUUAGGUAUGAAUGAUCAGGAAAUUGAUAAGUAAAAAACAAUUUAAUUAUUUCACUUAAGUCAUAAACCAUUAUGAGGAGCCUUGGAAUAUAUGCAUGAGUCUAGAUUCUCGCAGCCACUAAUCACGUAGUCAAAAUUGGCCAGUCGCAAACAUUCCAAUCAUUCUUUAUGAUAAGAAAGAAGAGUUCACUCUUCUUUUUCUCGAGUUUUUUAUUUGGAGAGAGCAAUUUAUCAGCCUCACAUUUUGAGACCUUUCUUGGCACAUCACUUUCAGAAUCUGAUUUCCUAGCUCCACUAUAGAAGUAAAGCCAGUUGGGUAUCACAUUCUUGUUUUAUGUCUCCUUGAGUGGGUCGGGUGUAUAUAAAAAUUUGCCAGUUGAAGAUUUUCUUUGUUAUGCUAGUCUUUCUUUUUCUAACCUCCUGAUAUCAAAUGGGAAAAUGCCAUAUCGUUACUGGACAAUUGACCCAUAAUGGAGAGACUUUUGUUGGUUGGACUUGGGCUUUUAUAUAACUCAGCAACUAUCAUAAUUAUAGGAGAAAUUUGAAGUAACCAUAUUGAUUUGGGUCUACCAAGAAGCAAGGUGAAUCGUAACAUAUCAUGCAUAUAACUUGAUUCAAUUAUUUUAUAUUCUACUUGUUUCUUAUGUAUUUUUACUUUUAUCAAAUAGUUUAGAUAUCAUUACCAAAUAUUCUCCUGACAUUUUCCUAUUAUUUCUGUAAGAUGCUAUAAUCUACACCCAAAGUAGUGGACCACUUACACUUUAUUAUGUACUAACCACGAUCAUAACUUACAUUCUCCACCUUGGCCUCUCUCUUAUCCCAAAAAGUAAAGACUCAGGGUUCGUAUCCCUUCCCUUCUGUCUAUAUAGGUCUAAGAGUAGUCAAGUGUUUCCUUCAAUAGCCUUCAUAUUCUUGGCAGUAACUAGGUACUUGGUUUUCAAACACAACAAAAAUAAUGGCUCAAAUUGCCAAGAUGGAGGUCCAAGCAGAGAUCAAGUCCCCUGCCAGUAAGUUCCACGAGGUCUGUAGCCGUAAAGUUUAUCUCGUACCCAAGGCUUGCCCUGAAAAAAUUAAGAGCAUUGAAGUAGUUGAAGGUGACUGGAAGACUGUGGGCUCUGUCCAGCUUUGGACUUAUUUCAUCGGUAAGGCAAAAUCCAUCAUUCCACGCCUCCCCCAACAAACACAAGGACACAGAGCUCAAUUGUACUUCUAUUAUUAUUACUAUUAUUAGGAAAUAAUGAUAAUCUAAUGGUAAUGUGACUCUACUCAUGCCGAUAUAAACCCCGUAAUCUUGAUCUCAAAUUGCUAUCAAACAAAAGAAUAUCAAAUAAAGGUAAAGUGUGUCCCCUAUAUUUAUACGUAGAUAGAUGAGUUCUAAGCUUAGCACCAUGUUUUCCAUUUGAAAAACAGGAGGAAAUACCGAAGAGGCUAAGUUGGUGGUUGAAAGGGUAGACGAGGAAAACAAAACGGUCACUAUGAACGUUGUGGAAGGAGAUAUCGUGAAGUAUUUCAAGAUCUUCAAGUGCACUAUUCAAGUAACCGUAAAGGAUAAGGGCAGCUUGGUGACAUGGAGUGUGGAAUAUGAGAAGCUAAAUGAGAGUGGCCCCGCUCCAGAUGCUUACCUCAACUUUGCAAUGGGUAUCGUUGAGAACGUGGAUGCUUACCUUCUCAAGGCAUGACAACAAAGGCGUAUUCAUGAGUCAUGACAUGGUAUGAAGCACUGGUACAACAAAAACUUGGGAAUAAUGUACCACACGCCAUGUCCUCAACUUCUACUGGUCAUCGCUAUAAUAUUAAAAGUAACUUCUUAUUCUACUUAUAUACCUUCCAAGUACUUUGUGUCUUGAAUGUUAUUAUCUAAAAAUAAAAAUAGAAAAUCUCGAAGAAGAGCAUUGUCCUUCGACACUUUUCUUUCUUUCUUUCUUUCUUCACUGCUGAGAAUCUCAACGUACGACUACCAUUUGCAUUAUGGACCCAUGACUGCCAUCCUUUGACCACAUUUGUUGCCCUCCCACCAAACUCCUACGCGUCAAAAUUUCUAUUGUUGCUUGAACAAUAUUUUCAUUUGAAAAACAAGGAAACGAUUUAAAAAUUCUUAUCUCAUGUCUAGUUACCCCGGUCGACCAUAUAAAGUACCACUUGAUCACUCUAGUCUCCUUUGCUAGCCCAUGGGCAAUGCAAUACCCAGCAGGUCCCAGUAACCAACUCUAUGUUCCUCCGAAAAUGAAACAAAUCAGGUCGUUUCAGGGAUGCAUUUGAUCUCACCCUUUUGUUUUGUGUCCGUUAUUUUUUAUUUUAAUAUCACAUGUUUAUAUUUUAAUCUCAUUCUUUACACCUGGAUUUGCUGAUAAAGGCAACUUUCUUUUUGAGCUUUGAUCGAGAUUUUUAUGAAAUUCCUGUGAUAUUACCGUCCUGCUCCUGCUUAAGAAUGUAACUUUGAUUUUGCUUUUAGUGAAGUCUUUAGGUGUUGUUUAUUCCCCAAAAUCUUUUGAUGUUUCUGAAAUUGCUUCAGUGGACUUUGAGAGGUUGCAGGUACCUCUUUUCUCCUGAAAUAGAAUUUGUUUCAGUGGAGCAAGACAACAGGAUGAGCAAAAAAUAGAACCAAUUUUAUUGAUAUAUAUCAGGUUUUUGAGACGUUGAAGAACAUUUCUAACAACUUUUUUUGAUGGGUGACCAAGCCUAUUAUGCCACAAUGCAUAUACAGAACAAGAAGAAAAAGAAGCAGGUGUUGGAACUACAGAAGAAUUGUAUACUAAGGGUUGUGUUGACAUACUGACAUAUGACUUAUGAGGAGUUGAGGGAGAGAAGCUGCCACUGAUUAUUAAUGAGAUCAAUUUGAGACUGAUAAAAAACAUAAAGACCAUCUUUAGGCCUACCCCUCCAGUAGCACUGUUUUGAAGUGAAAUUCAAAGAAGACAUUCUUUUGGGCAAAUUUUGACACACUGAGAAGGUUCUAAUUAGCAAUUUCAGGGACAUGAAGUGUUUUAAAGAGUAAUUUCAGCAAACAUAACUUCAACUUUACAUCCACCUGACCUCAUUAUUUCAGUUUGACAAGAGGGCUUAAUUAUAUCAGUAUGACUGCUAAGAAGACUUUGGAAUAUUAUAAAACGAGUCCAUCAAGUUCAAGGUUUGGAAUGGAAAGAUCAUGAGUAAUUUCACUACUUUUAAGCUGAAUAUGAGAAGGUAAAUGAGGAUGUCCCAGACCCAAUGCUUACUAAAUCAUUGAAGGUCACCUUCUUGAGGCAUAAUUCCAAUUCUUUUCAUCGAUGCUUCUUAGAUGUUAUAAAACAAUACUAUGAAAAUGAAAACGUAAUGUAAUUUUGUCAAAGCCUUUUCCUUAUUGAAGACUCUGGACUGAUUGCGUGGGUGCGCAACACCCACCAUAAUUCCCACACCAACGCCCAACUAACCAAAUCACGUAAGGCCUCACAUGGCCUCAUUAUUAUUUCUGUUGAAAGAUAAUACUAUAUUACAUACGAGAUGGCCAUUCUACCAGCCACCUGUAAAGUUGGUGAUAAAUUGAUACUAAAAAUAGAAGGAAAAUUAAGUUGAAAUUAAGGGUGUCUAUUUAAAUUUAAUUAUUCCCUAGAUAUGAUCUUUUGAUAUGAUUUGAACCCGUUAAUCAUUUAUUUUUAUAUAAAGAGACAAAAAUUCAAUUGUAUAAUCCAGGAUGAGUCACUUGGCCGGGUUUUCGACGACAGCUAAAUCAACCUUCAUUUAGUAAUGAUUGCCCAUGAAAUAAAUUAUCAUGUCUCCUCACAAUAUAAUAAACUAAUAAAAAAUAAAAGAAGAUCACAAAGAAAAGCAUCUUAGUGGAAGUUUUUUUUUUUUUUUUUUUCUUUCAUUUGUUGGUGGUGACACUCCGUGAAAUGUGAUCAACUAGCAUUUGAAUUACACAACCUAAUGCAAAUGAUAAAAAGCAUAAAUUACUUUAGAGUGUUUAGAAUUUGGAAGACUCUAGCUAGGAUGAUAUGGCAUGGGUCUGUGGCCGACAACCACCAAACCCAACGCUAAAUAAUUAUUAUUGAACCAUCAUCAUCAGUAUAAGCAACAUCAAACCUCUCCAUGUUAAACUGUACAUUUUAUUUCAUCCGGAUCUAAUAUCUAAUUAUAAAUGAUUAUGUAUGAGAUUGCAAUCCUUUGCUUAACUCUUUGAAAAUCUAAUUAUAAAUAUUUGGAAUAUCGAUUUCAUCUCUACCAUUAAAAGCAUAUGAAAAAAAUAUCUUGGUCUUUGAAUAAAAGUAAGUAUAAAUAAUUAGACUAGGGUACCAAAUGAUGAAAUCAAAUAUAAAUGAAUUAUAACCAUCAAAUUUCUAUUUUUCAUUAUUAAAUCAUUGGGCGCUCCAAUUUUUACAUGAUGUAUAACUAUUGACGGAAAUGUUAAUUAGGGAUGGCAACGGGGCUGGUUUUUUCGGGUACCCGCCCCCCCCUCCCCCCCCCCCGCCCCUAAUGGGACGGGGUUGAAAUUUAAUAAACGGGUUUUUAACGGGUAUGAGAUUUUUUUUUAAAACCAGGGGCGGGUUCGGGACGGGUUCGGGACGAGUUCGGGUAUUGCCCCAUUCCGCCCCGCCCCGCCCUGUUUACAUAUAAAAUCAAUUUUAAAAUUAAUUUUAUUUUACUAUUUUUAAUAUAUAGAUAAUAAUAAAAAAAUUAAUAAAAUAAGUUAUAAAAAAUAUAAUAAUUUUAUUAUUUAUAAAUAUAUUUAUUUUAAUGUAAUUAAAAAUUUUAAAAGUAAAUUUUUUUUUUUAUAAAAAAAAGGAGGCUAAACGGGGCGGGACGGGGAUGAGAAUUAUUUUUAAUAAACGGGGCGGGGUUGGGAUGGGGGCAACCCGUCCCGAACCCGCCCUGUUGUCAUUCCUAAUGUUAAUAUAAGGAUAUAAUAAUGGGUAAAAUUAGUUGAAAGUGUUUUUUUUAUGACAUAAAAUAAUUUUUCAAAUUUUAAUUUCUAUUUACUUUGUCUUCCCUUGUCAUGUAUCUUUGUAAUUUUCCGAUUUGUUUAUCAAAACAAUAAAUGAUGUCAUGUUAUGAUUUCUCUUUUUGUCUUCCUUUUUAAUUGACGUGUUUAUUGGAAUAAUAUAUUAUGUUAGACAAAAUAACACAUACCUCCACUGCCCAAAUCCCCUCCGUGACAAUGAACCCCAUCUUUAAGCAUUAUUAUAAAAUUAAGCAUAAAGUUAUUACAAGUUUCUUCCAUUUCACAUGCCUUUCCCAUAGAUUGAGUGGUGGAGAUGAUCAUUCUUGAACGAUUUAUAAUUUUAAUGAAUUCUGUCUAUUCUCAUAUCUUUUAAGAGGGAAUUCAAAUCAACUUAUCUUAUUUUCUCAACGCUACUUAACUUCCACGGCUUCAAAUUUACAUGAUCAUAUCAUUAUCAAUAACUUCGGCAUAACUAUUCAAAUUUUAAUAAGAACUUCAAAUCAUUGUUACCUUUAUUGCCUUAAAAAUCUUUUUCUUUGUCAAUGAUCCCUGCACGAUUAUUAAAUAAUAGGAUUGUUAUUGUCAUAUUAACUAAUUUUGAUAAUAUAGUCAUCGUCACGGCUGAGUGCCGUUUUCUUGGGAGAUUUUUCAUAAAUUUAAAUCAAUACCAGUUAUAGGAAAUGCGUCACAAAUUAGGAAGAUAUCGAGCUGGAAGCAGAUGAUAUAUAAUUCAUUAUUUUCUUCCUUAUUGAAGCUUGACAAACCAAUCCAAAUGCAUUAACGUGAGAAGCAAGGUUUUAUGCUCAUUUUCAAUGAACCUUGUCAACAUGCACGUCAAAAACAAUGAUUUAUUAACUACGUACAUGUAGAACUGCAUGGGAAAAAAAAAAUACAAUUAAGGCAUUGGGAUAUGAAUAAAACGCUUAACUUAAAAUUCAAAAUUCUCAAAACUACGUUUUUCACACCAAAAUGUUUCAUCCAGCCAACCUAAGACCGAGUGAAUCCUCCCUCUAAAGCACAUUGCCCAAGACUACAGGCAACGUAGUAAUUACCUAAGCAAAUACGUCAGAAUCAUACCAAUUUUUACCAAAGUGGGUAUCGGGAAGGAGCUUUGCCUAAUUCAUCCUUCUAUAUAUAAGGACAAGGUUAUCUACUUCUUCUCAUCACUGCCUUCUGUUUGAAUAUUUUGUAGUUAGUUUUAUCAAUCCAGCUAGUGUUAUUAUCAGAAAAACAUGGCUCUAACUGGUAAGUUGGAGACUGAAACAGAGAUCAAAGCACCUGCUGAUAAGUUCUUUAAAAUCUUCAGGAGCCAAGCACACCACCUUCCUAAUAUCUGCUCCGAUAAAAUACACAAAAUCGAGGUACAUGAAGGUGACUGGGAGACUCAGGGCUCCGUCAAGCAUUGGAGUUUGACCGUUGGUAAGGCAUCUCAAACUAAGAACCACAAAACACUAGCGUUAUAUUCUGUUAAUUAAAAUAAGUUAUUAUGUUUUUGUUUCAUUUCAUUGUUGUUUUCUUCACCUUUCAAUUAUUCUAUUAGAAUAAAAGCAUGCCUCUUUGUACAAUUUUUUUCUUGCAAAGAAGUGAUCGAGUCUGGGCCGCUAGUGACUAUGAUGGUUCUUAGGAAUGUACAUGACAUCUAAUAAUAGCUUCAACAUAUUCCAAUUAUGUUUAACCUCACAUUUUGGUUUCAACUAGGAGAGAAUUCUGAGAGUAUUAAAGAGACUGUGGAUCAAAUAGAUGAAGAAAACAGGUCCAUCACAUUCAAGGUUUUGGAUGGGGAGGUGCUGAAAGACUACAAGAGCUACAAGUUCACCACACAAGCGAUACCAAAGGGGGAGGGCUGCUUGGUGAUAUGGACCAUCGAAUAUGAGAAGGCAAGUGAGGGUGGCCCAGAUCCCCAUAACUGCCUAGAGUUUUCAGUUAAUAUCACCAAAGAUAUCGAAAGUCACCUUCUCAAUGCGUAACACCAAGGCCAUAUCCACCCUUUGCUAGUAUCUUGCUCGUAAAUAAAGUUUGGAACUUGGAAGUCCAUCUAUCUCUAUCUUUCAAUAAACGCAAAUUCCAGGUGUGGACUUGGUGAUUAGUGCCGAGAAGAUAAACUAGGUUUGCCUUGGUUAUUUGUGCAAUAAUAUUAGUGCAUGAGUGGGAUUGAUUGUAUGCUAUCUUGUCCGGGAGUUGCUUUGUGUCUUUUGUAAUGGGAUUACUACAUGUAAUGUGAAGACUAUAUGAUGCAUGGGGAAAUAAAUUAAGCGAAAACUUCCAUGGGCUCCAUCAUGAGGAGCCUUUGAGUAAGUCCACAAGCCUACAUUCUUGCAUUCUAGUCACAUGUGUCAAAAUAAGUCUCUACAAAUUAAAGUCUUAUUGUCAAAAUCCCACUUUACACAUAAUCUAAAUAAUUUAGCUAAAAUCUAAUAAGUAUGUCUCUCUUUAUAUGUACUUACCAUCCCAACUUUUAAAUUUAGGGAUAUCUAUGUAAUUUAGAUUUUAAAAAGAAAAUUUUAGGGAUAUUUACAAAGAUAAAUGAAAUAUUUUUGGUUCCGAUAACCAUUAUUUUUAUCUCAUUUUGGUUUCUUUGCGUUAUAAAAAAAAUGGUUUGUAGAGAUAAACUAGAGAAAAAAAAAAAUUAUACAAUGGUUUGUAGAGAAAUUUGAUUCGAAAAGUUAGAAAAGAUGAUUUGUUUUUUGCAUUUGCUUCAUUCUAAAAUUCAAUCACUAUCUUUUAUCUCAUUUUGGUUUCCCCACAUUAUCAAAAAAUGAAGGAUAAAAAUAAACUGGGGAAAAAAUUAUACAAAGGUCUCCGAGAACUUUGAUUUGAAGAGUUAGAAAAGAAGAAUUUUUUUGCAUUUGUUUCAUUUUAAAAUUCAAGGUUUUUGGAUUUCUAUUAUAUAUUAAUUAUGAGGAUAGUAGAAUAAUAAUAAUAAUAAACAAAAACUAGUUAUUAGUGACCUUGAUCAAUAGAGUAUAAGUUGUUGACCUUUAUUAUCUUUGUUAGAAGUAGUUAACGAUGCAAUGUAACCUUAGCCAAUAAAGAUGUUUUGAUAUACAUUGAUUGAAAAAUGUCCUUUUAAAACUAGUUAUUAUUGACCUUGGUCAACACAGAGGAUAAGUUGUUGACCUUUAUUACCCUUGUUAGGAGUAGUGAACGGUGUAGUAUAACCUUAGUCAUUAAGGAUGUUAUUAGCCUUUUGCUAUAUCAUUGAUUGAAAGUUGUCCUAUCCACCAAUAAGGAGAAUGAAGGCUAGCCACCAAGUACUAGUUUUAGUAUUUUGGCACAAUAUUAUUACUAGUGAGUCAAAGUGAAAUAUUUGUUGAUAAAACUUUUUUAAUAUGAAUUGAGUAAGCAAAAUAUAUUAUUUAAUUCUAUCAUUAAAUUGGAAGUGUUUAAAUUUUCAAAAACAAUUAUUUUAAUUAUUGAAUCAAAUGAGCUUACAUGUUAAUAGACUUUUAUAAAGAUGUGGUAUCUUCCGAAAUUUUAUUAUAUAUAAUAAUUGAUCUUCCUUAUACUAACUUUUAUCAUUGAGCCAUCGAGUUCACUUUUCUCUGUUAUUCUCCAUUUCAAUUAUAAAUGAUAUAAAGAGGGAUGAGGUAAGAAAAAUAUUUCUAUUAGAGACAGCUUUGGAAUUGAUUUAUUUUAGGAUUAUUUACUAGACUGAAUUCAUUUAUAAUUUCUAAAUUUCUUUUUGAAGAAUUUGAGAAAAUUAAAUUAAUUAUUGAGAGAUUUUAAUUAGUUUUAAAUUUGUUACUUAAAGUCGUUCACAUGUUGGAUUCUAAUAUUUGAUACGUGAAACUAGCAUGAAGGGCUUGACCUCCGGGUUUGGGGCGUCGCAGCUGACUUUAGAUUACAGAAUUAUUAAUCAACCUACCAAUCUUCAAAGCAAUCUAGGAUGCAAUAUGGUUUUGUGAUUUAAGAUCAAGUGGACGCUUCAUUUAUUAUGUCUUCAAAAAAACAUUUUGGGCCUCAAUUCGAGAUUAUCAGAUAUGGAUUCUAACAGUUGCUUCCAAUCAAAUCAGUGUCACAGAAAUCGCUACCAUUGUGGUACCUGAAAAAAAAAAAAAGAGACUCCUUCCCUUAAUAUUGAAAUUUAUCUGAAGCUAUGCAGUAAAUAAAUGCCCCAUUUUGUGCGUCAUAAUGGGGGAUCACAUUCAGAAUCUUCUGCACAUGCAAAUUAAAAUCAAAAUCAAGCCAUUGGCCUAUCACAUUACCAUUUUUGGCCCUUUUGUUUUGUUGUUUUUUUCUUUUUUUGGCGUGUAUAUAAAAAGCAACCACAUUAUCCAACUUUUAUUGAAAACACCAUAUUAUCAGAUACAAAAACGCCACAUCAUUAUUAUUGAAAAUUAAAUUCCCAUAUAUAGAAAGCCACAUAAAAUUCAGUGCCAAUCACAAACAUUCGUUGAUAUUCACUAGGAUAGAGAUAGAGUGCCCAUAUAUGGACAGUGCACCAUACCCGCCGUGAAGUGAUUGGAAGAGUGUGGACUAUGUCAAGCUCCGGACUUAUUUGUAUAGGUAAGGCAACGCUAACCAUUAUUAUUCCCAUGCCACCCUCAAUCAAGCACAGUCAUACACUCGGCACAUGGCACUUCUUGUUUUUAAUUAUUAUCAUAGUGAACAAUGUUUUCAUAAUCGGAUCGAUCAUCGAACCGAAAAAGUUAUCGAUUUACAGUCCAUUAGUCGAACCGACGGUCGAACCAAUAACAUCAUAAAUAUGUAAUUUAUAUAUUAUUAAAAUUAAAAAUAAUUAUACAAAUUUUAAAAUAUAUAUGAAUAAAUUAAAAAUCAAUAAUAUUAUUUUGUAUCUUUAAUAUUAUCAAAUUAAAUCAUAUUAAUAUUUUAAAUUUUAUUGAAUGAAAUAUAUAUAAUAUUUAAAUAUGAAUAUAUUAAAAAUGAAAAUUUAAUUAAACUAAUUUUAUAAUUUUUAAAAAUAUUAUAUUAUUUUUAUUUAAUAUUAUAAAAAAAUUUAAAAUCCAAUAUAUAUUAUUUUGUUUGGCAUAUUAAAUAAUAAAAGAUGUAUAGCCGAGUGGUCCUAGGUUGGUUAUAGACCUUGAGGUCCAAGUUCAAAUCCUUUGGUGGAUUUGUUAAUUUUUUUUUUCAUUGAUUAGGUUAGUUAGCAAUCCCACACUAAGAGGAAUAAGGAUGCUUAUAAAAGCUAGCCUCAUUAUGGGCAAAGGCAUCACCUCAUCUGGUGGGCUUAAGACUCAGCCCAUAAAAUGGUUGGGUGCGGUGUGGGCUUUGUCACAUUAAGACAGGGCCCAUCAUGGGCUUUUGCUAAAUUUUUUUAUACAAGGGAGCCUUCCAUGCUUGCAAAAUGGUGGGAUAACUUGAACCGAUCGAUUCGCUCAAAACCGUCUGAUUUCGUUGGGUUAUCGAUUCAAUCAUCGAUUUAGGUGAUUUGUGACCGGUCCAAUGCUUAGACGGUUUAAUAAAGUAAAUCUAAUAAAAAAUGUGAUGGAUCGACGAUUGAACCAGUUGGAUCAGUCGGUCCCACCCGAUUUUUAAAACAUUAGAUAAUAACAAAUUAAAAGAAGGGUGUCUCCUCAUAUGAGUUUUUUUGAAGUUCUCUACUCUUGGAGUGACUGAAAGGAUAACUGCAGCCUGGUGAGAUGGACUUUGGAAUAUGAGAAGUCAAAUCAGAGGCUCCUUCCUCCAGAUGCUUACCUCAGCCUUGUAAGCAUGAGUAAAGAUAUGGAUGGUUUACCUUCUCAAGGCAUAAACCGCAUAACAGCAAGGCCUAUAUCCUUGACUUGGUCUGAAAGCAUCCUAGCUUGGGUCCUUCUGGGAAUGGGAUUGCCACACGUAUGACCUCUGUAUCAUCAGUUUUGGGGCAAAAUAGCCAUUUUAUGUAUAAAAAAAAAUAAGCUUUAGCCCUUUACAAAACUUAUGUUUAAACUAGCUCACAUAGAGUCAUGUCAUCAUUUUUCUUUUAAACUCAAUUAGACUUUAUUUUUUAACUGAAACUUCAAUUACCAAUUGAGAAUUCAUUUUUUAACUAAAACUUCAAUUUACAAUUGAGGUUUUAGUUAACUUUGUUUUAAAUUUAAAUAAAAAAUUAAAUUAUAAAUUAUUAUUGAAAUUUAAAAAAUAUAUUUUAAUAAUAAUAAUUUAUAUAUUUAAACUUAAAUAUCUAAUAUUACUUCAAUAAAGAUAAAUUGACAAAUAUAAUAAUAAAUAAAUAUUUUAUUUAUCAAUAAAUUAAUAAUUUUAAAAUAAUAAAGUUAUAUGAAAUCUAAAUAAGAUAUAAAAUUAUAUAAUUUGUUAAUUUAAGAUAUUUAAUUUUUUGUAUUUUUAAGAUAUUAAUUUAUUUGUAUUUUGACAAAUUUAUCUUUAUUAAAAUAAUAAUAUAUUCUUAAGUUUCAUAUAUAGAUUUUUUUAUUAUUUUAAAGCAUAUAUUUAUAGUUUACGUAAAAAAAUACUAUUAUUUGUACAUACAAUAUAUAUGCCUUGAAGAUACAUUUUGAAAUUAGUUAAUAAAAUUAAUUAGAAAAAAGUCUACUAUAAAAUUUAAUUUUUAAUAGUUUCAUCAAAGUCACAAAAAAUACUCAUUAAAUAUUUAUAUUAUGGAAAAAAAAUGCCCCUCCCUAAUAUUACAUGUGAUAUAACUUAAAUUAAUAAAUUGUAUAAUUUUAUAUUUUAUUUAUAUGUCAUAUAAUUUUAUUAUUUUAAGAUUAUUAAUUAAUUGAUAAAUAAAAUAUUUAUUUAUUAUAUUUAUCAAAUUAUCUUUAUUGAAGCAAUAUUAGAUCUUUAAGUUUAAAUAUAAAAUUUUUUAUUAUUAAAGUAUAAUUUUUUAAUUUCAAUAAUAAUUUAAAAUUUAAUAUUUUUAAUUAAAUUUUAAAGUAAAAAAAUAAAAUAACUGAAGUUUCAAUUGACAUAUCUUAUUUAGAUUUCAUAUAAUAUUAUUAUUUUAAGAUUAUUAAUUUAUUUAUAAAUAAAAUAUUUGUUUGUUAUUAUAUUUAUUAAUUUAUUUUUAUUGAAGUAAUAUUAGAUCUUUAAGUUUAAAUAUAUAAAUUAUUAUUAUUAAAAUAUAUAUUUUUUAUUUCAAUAAUAAUUUAUAAUUUAUUUUUUAAUUAAAUUUUAAAAUAAAAUAAAAAUUUUAACUAAAACCUCAAUUGUCAAUUGAGGCUUUAGUUAAAAAAUAAGUUUCGAUUGACAAAUGAUACUUCAAUUAAAAAAUGAAGUCUUAGUUGGUAAUUGAGACUUCAACUUAAAUUUUAAAAAAAAAAAAUUAUGACAUAACUCCUAUAUGUGAUAAUAAAGGAACUAGUUUAAACAUAAGUUUUAUAAAAGGGUUAAAACUUAUAUUUUUUUCUACAUAAAAAACUAUUUUGCCCUAAAACUCCCGUAUCGUCGACUAGCUACUGCUUUACUCCAUGUAACAUCUUGUCUACUUAAUUAUAUGAACUUCCUGAAUUAAUGCUGGAAUGACAAACCAAGUUUUAUUGAAAAUGGAAACCUUCUUAGAAUCAAACAUUUGCUCGAACAAAUUUCGCAAUAAAAAGAGGAGAGUUGUGAAAAGAAGCAUUUUUCCUGCAGCCAAUUACCUUUUCAUACAUUACUUUAAAACAAAUUAACAAAUAGUGAUCUCAUAUUUUACCUUUUCUGUUGCAGAUUACUUUUAAAAAUAUUCUCUCCACAGGCACUCCUACGGAAUCUUUCUCCAAAUCAAACUGUACAUUUUACUCAAAUUUUAAUAUCUAAUUAUAAAUAAUUAUGGGUGAGAUUGCAAUCCUUUGCUUAGCUCUUUGAAAAUCUAUGAUGAUACUCGGUAUUAAUAUUUUAUUUUAUUAAAGAUAAAAAUAUCAAAAUAAUUUUAGAACUUUUUAGUGGGGAUAAUACUUCCCCAUUAGGCUGCUUACAAGGCAUAAAUUAAUAUUUUUUUAAUUUUAAUAAAAGCAAUUUGGUACAGUUGACUUGAUUGAUAACUAUUUAAGAUAGGAUUUAGACUAAUUUAGAUUAAUUAGAUUGCAUUUACAGUUCCGUUACCUCGAAACAAAGUUGGUGCAACAUUAACCAUGAUUAUGGUGAUAUAUUUUAGUUUUAUAUUUUUUAAGGGGAUAAUUUUUUUUUUUAAUGGUUUGAUGUUAGCUUAUAAGAAAAACCUAAACCAUAAAAGCCGAAUCUUUCCAAUAUUGAUCCAAUUUCUAUCAUUAAAAAUAUAUGAAUAAAACUUUUGAUCCUUAAAUAAAAGUAUACAAACUAUCGUACAAAAUAAUGGAAUCAAAUAUACAAAAUAAGAUUAAGGAAAUGUUUGAUAAAACUUAAUAUUUAUUAUUUAAUAAUUUAAAUUAACUCUAAGUUAAAUUAUAUUUAAGUUGUUGACUUAAAACUUAUUAUUUAAUUUUUAUUUUAAGUAUUAAGGUUAUUUAAAAAAAUUAACUUACAAUUUAUAUUAAAUCAUCAAAUUAAAAUAUUUAUCUUAAUAAAUUAUAACUAAGACAAAUAAGGUUAAAUAACAAUGGAGGUUGUGAAGUCAUAAAAGAGAUCAUAAAUGUAAUUGAGAGAAAAAAAGACAAAAAUAUAAAAUGAAGAUACUGACUUAAAAAUAAAUAAAUUUUUUUAUUUAUUAAGUCUUUUAUUUUAAGUCAUACAAUAAAAUUAUUUUAUCAAACAUAUUUAAUUUAUUUAAUAAUAUAAUUAAAAUAUUAAGUCACUUAAAGUUAUUAAAUUGGUUUACCAAACACGUACUAACGUACAAAUAAAUAAGACUAAAAUAGAAAACAAUGAAACUUAAACACAUAUAUGACAUGGUCUAUUUAAUUGUAUUUUUUUAUAAAUGCCUCUUUAAUACUUCCCAAAUCAUAACAUUAAAUUUCUUAAAUUGAUAUAAAACAUUUUUUUUUUUCUANNNNNNNNNNNNNNNNNNNNNNNNNNNNNNNNNNNNNNNNNNNNNNNNNNNNNNNNNNNNNNNNNNNNNNNNNNNNNNNNNNNNNNNNNNNNNNNNNNNNACAUAUAUGACAUGGUCUAUUUAAUUGUAUUUUUUAUAAAUGCUCUUUAAUACUUCCAAAUCAUAACAUUAAAUUUCUUAAAAUUGAAUUAUAAACAUUUUUUUUUUCUAUGAUUGAAUCAUUUAGCACUCCAAGUUUUACUAUUGGACGAAAUGUUAAGGAUCUAAUAAAUGGGUAACAUUAAUUUGCUGAAAUAGUUUUUCUUAUUACUUAUAAUGGUUUUAAGAAUGUUGAAAAAAAAAUUCAUGGGAAAACAUUUAUCAAACUCAAAUUUUGAUUCCUAUUUACUUUAUCUUUCCUUGUCAUGUCUCUUUCUAAUUUUCCUUUUUUAGCGGUUUGUUUAUUAGAACAGUAUAUCAUGCCUGUGAUUCUCUUUCUAUCACUUCUUUUCAAUUGAUUUGUUUAAUGCAAUAAUAUUUGUUUAAUGCAAUAAUAUAUCAUGUUAGACAAAAUAACACCUACCUACUACCCAAAUCCCCAAUGUGACAAUGAACUCUAUCUUUAAGCAUUAUUAUAAAAUUAAACGUAAAGGAUAUUAUAAGUUUCUUCCAUUCCACGUGCCUUUCCCAUAUAUUGAAAGGUGGAGGUUAUCAUUUUUAAAAGAUCAAUAAUUGUAAUGAAUUUUCCAUUCCACGUGCCUUUCCCAUAGAUUGAAAGGUGGAGGUGAUCAUUUUUAAAAGAUCAAUAAUUUUAAUGAAUUUCAUAUAUUUGCAUAUUUUUUAAGAGGGAAUUCAAAUUAACUCAUCUUAUUUCUCAAUGUUACGUAACUCCUGCCUCAAAUUAAAAUCAUCAUAUCAUUAUGAACAACUUUGAUACAACUAUUCAAUUUUUAAUAUGAAUUCUUUCAUUCUCAAAUCAUUGUUCAAGUUAGCUUUAUUAACUUAAAAAAACUCAUUCUUUGUCACUACUCCCUCUAUGAUUAUUAAAUGAUAAAAUUGUCAUUGUCUUAAAAACUAAUUUUGAUAAUAUAUUCAUCAACAUAUUUACAAAUUUAAAUUAAUACAAGUUGUAAGAAAUGUAUCAUAAAGAAGAUACAAAACUAGAAGUAGAUGAUAAUUAAUUAUUUUUUUUCUUUAUUGAACUUUGACACCCCAUCCAAAUGCAUUAACGAGAAAAAUAGUGUUUUAUGCUUGUUUUCAAUUAAUCUUGUCAAUAUGUACAUGAAAAACAAUGAUUUAUGCUUAUAAAUCUUAUCAAUUCGCUUAUUUGUAUAUGUAAAAUGAAAUUAUUGAAACUACACGUAGAAUUGCAUGAGGAAAAAAAUACAACUACUGCAUUUAUAAAUGAAUAAAAGCUUGGCUUAAAAUUCAAAAUUCUCAAAACUAUGUUUUCCACACCAAAAUAUUUCAUCCAGCCAACCAAACACCGAUUGAAUCCUCCCUCUAAAGCAUAUUGCCCAAGAUUACAGGCAACGUAGUAAUUACCUAGGCAAGUACGUCAGAAUUAUAGCUUCUUUUUUUUUUUUGUUUUUUUUCAGUUCAUUGACUCGGCUCCACCCAACCACUAUCAGUAUCAGUUACUACCAGAGAGGGUACUGGGUACUGGUUACUGGGCAGGAGCUUUUCCAAAUUCACAACCCGUCUUCUUUAUAUAAGGGCAAGUUUAUGUAUUUCCUCUCGCCAUUGCCUUUUGUUCGAAUCAUUUGAAGUUGAUUUUAUUAAUCCAUCAGAAAAACAUGGCUCUAACUGGUAAAUUGGAGAUUGAAACAGAGAUCAAAGCACCUGCUGAUAAGUUCUUUAAAAUCUUCAGGAGCCAAGCACACCACCUUCCUAAUAUCUGCUCCGAUAAAAUACACAAAAUCGAGGUACAUGAAGGUGACUGGGAGACUCAGGGCUCUGUCAAGCAUUGGAGUUACACCAUUGGUAGGAUAUGCAACUCGAACUCAGAACCCCAAAACACUAGCUAGCAUUAUAUUCCGUUAAAAUGUUUUUUGAUUUUUUUUCCCCAUUUCAUUGUUGUUUUCUUCACAUUUUUUUAUUCUUUUAGAAUAAAUGCAUGGCUCUUUGUACAAUUUUUCUUUUUUUCUUGCAAAGAAGUGGUCAAGUCUGGGCCGCCAGUGACUAUGAUCGAUGGUUCUUAGUAAUGUAUAUGGCAUCUAAUAUUAGCUUCAACAUAUUCCAAUUACUAGGAGGGAAUUCUAAGAGCAUUAAGGAGAGUGUGGAAUCAAUAGAUGAAGAGAACAGGUCCAUUACGUUCAAGGUUUCGGAUGGAGAGGUGCUGAACGACUACAAGAGCUACAAGUUCACCACACAAGCAAUACCAAAGGGAGAGGGCUGCUUGGUGAAAUGGACCAUUGAAUAUGAGAAGGCAAGUGAGGAUGGGCCAGAUCCCCAUGACUACCUGGAGUUUGCAGUUACUGUCACCAAAGAUAUCGAAAGUCACCUUCUCAAUGCAUAACACCAAGUCCAUACAUACCGUCUGCUAGUAUCUCUAUUAAAUAAAGUUUGGAACUUGGAAGGGCAUCUACGAUCUCUAUCCUUCAAUAUAUGCGAAGGCUUAGGGGAACUUUUAGCAGCUGUGGCUUGGUGAUUAAUGCUGAGAAGAUAAACUAGGUUUCCCUUAAUUAUUUGUGUAAUAAUGUUAGUGCAUGCGUGUAAUCGGUUGUAUGCUUGUCUGGACUCUAGGGGUUGCUUUGUGAUUGUUAAUUGGUGUCUUUUGUAAUGGGAUUACUACAUGUUAUGUGAAGACUAUAUGAUGUAUAAGGAAAUAAAGUGAAAAUUACCAGGGGCUAACUCCAUCAUGAGGAGCCUCUGAGUAUGUCCACAAGUCUACAUUCUUGCAUUCUAGUCACAUGUGUCAAAAUCAGACCCUAACAAAUUACAGUCUUGAUCAUUGAAGGGGUAAAAUCCCACUUUACAUAUAAUCUAAAUAAUUUAGCUAAAAUCUAAUAAGAAUAUCUCUCUCUACAGGUAUGUAACCUUCCAACCUUGAAUUUAAGGAUAUUUAUAUAAUUUAAAAUUAUAAAAAGAAAAUUUUGGAUAUAGGACAAAUUAAUUUUUUUUUUAAAAAAUAACGAAAGUGAAUGAAAUAUUUUUGGUUCCUAUGACCACCCACUUUUUUUACUUUUUAUUUUUAUCUCAUUUUAGUUUCUCCACGUUAUAAAAAAAUGAAAAGAUAAAAUAGAGAGGAAAAAAGACAACUUGGAUUUGUAGAAGUUUCUUUCUUUCAUGGUGUUUUUCUGUUCUGUUUUUGCCUUUGUUUCAUUCUAAAAGUCACUCACUAUCUUUAUCUCAUUUGGGUUUCCCCGCGUUAUCAAAAAAUGAAAAUAUAAAACAAAGAGGAAAAAAAAACCUAUACAAAGGUCUUUGGAAUUUUGAUUCAAAGACUUAAGAAAAGAAUAAUAAAUUUUUGCAUUUGUUCCGUUCUAAAAUUCAAGGUAAGUUUUUCACAUAUAAUUUUUUUUUAGGAAUUCUAUUAUCUAUUAAUUAUGAGAAUAGUAAAUAUAUAUAAUAAUAAUAAUAAUAAUAAUCAUCAUCAUCAUCAUCAUCAUCGUCAUCAUCAUUAUCAUUUUAAAACUAGUUAUUAGUGAUCCUAAUCAAUCGAGAACAAGUUGAUUUUCAUUACCCUUGGUAAUGGUAGUGAUAAAAUAUAUUUUUAGUUAAUAAGGGUGUAAUUAGCUUUGGGGUUUCAUUGAUUAGAAAUUAUUUCAUCUACUAGUAAAAAAAACAAAGUAAAACUAACCAUCAAGUGCAAAUCAUGAAUUUUUUUAAAUAUGAAUUGAGUAUACAAAGUAUAUUAUUUAAUUAUAUAUUUAAAUUGAAAGAGAUUAAUUUUUCAAAAAUAGUGAAUUUAAUCAUUGAAUCAAAUCAACUUACCUGUUAUAAAGAUGUGAUAUGUUCCAAAAUUUAGUUGUAUACAAUACGUGACCCUUCUUAUUAAACUAUCCUUUAUCAUUGAGCUAUCUAACUUACCUUUCUCAAUUAUUAUCCUUUAAGGUACAUCAAAUAUUGGUAUAAAUGAGAAGAGAUCGAGAUAUGAAAAGUAUUUCAAAUAGAAACAUCUUUAGAAUAGAUUUAUUUUUUAGGAUUGUUUACUUAGAUCAAGUUUAUUUUAAUUUCUAAAAUGUUUUUUUAAGUGUUUGAGAGAAUUAAAGUUAUUAUUUAGAUAUUUUAAUUAGUUUUGGAUUUGUUUGUUAAGGUCAUUCAUACAAAGAUGAUAUCCAUUUCUGUGUUAUAUUUUAUUUUAUUUAUUUAUUUCUUAUUUCAUGUAUUAAGUUUGAUAAAACUGAAGGUGAAAUCAACAUUGAAUUGCUAAAAAUGUCAAUUACUAUUGUUAAUUUAUCACAAUUAUGAUUUUUUAAUUGUAGCACAUAGUAAAAUUAUUAUUAUUAUUAUUAUUAAUAUUUAUACUCUGGUCGAACUUAUCCAUGGCCAAUCCAUCAUGUAGGCCAAUUUUGUCAAACUUAUCCAUGGCCCAUCCAUCAUGUAGGCCAAAUUUUUAUUAGCAUUUUUGGGUCAUAACUCUAGAUGCUGACAUUAAAGCAUUUCUGGCAUAAUAAUUAUUGGAAAAGGAUGUCUCCUCUUUCAUGGAUCACAACCAAUACAGCAAAGAUGAUGAUAGAUAGCAUCCUUAUCACCUCAUGUGUCUUGACCUCUUCUUCAAGCUUGAGUGUCUUGUCCUAUAUUUAACGCAUGUACCAUUGCCUCCAAGAUAUGGUGACAGGAAUUAUAUAGCUACUGACUAGCUAGUCUUCACUCCAAAAAUAUGAUGGCCACUUUUUUGAAAUAUAACUCUUUAUCCUAUUGACUUAAACUCACCACCUCUUUCAGAUCCUCCACAAGGAUCAACUUAUUAAGAGUUUGGUCGAAGUUUGAUCCACUUUUCUAAAUGAGCAAUGUUAAAUUAUUUUAUUCAAACAAAUUUGAUGAUCAAAUAUCUCUUAUUUUCUCAAAUUUAAAUAACAUUCCUUUAUAAAAAUAAUUAUAAAAUUUAUUAUAAUCACUCAUUUUCAAUGGCUCAUUAGUAGAUGUUCAUUGUAUUAAAAUACAUUUAUAUGAUUAAGAAAAACUUAUACAUUUCUAUUUUUUUUUUCUAUGCAUAAUUUAUAAUAUCUCAUAUAGGAUUUAUUGGGUUUAGAAACAUGUAAUAUUUAUAUAAUAGUGAGUGAAUUAUUAUAAAUGGUAUGAAAAUUGAUUUUCAACCCUUUAUGAGAAUUUAUUUAAUACUACAAUAUAUGACUCUAUGUUUGAUUAUGUAAUCCUAUAAGACACGAUGUCCAUUAAGUUCAUUAUAUUAUUUUUAAUUAUGUAAAAAUAUUUUAAAAUUAAAAAAAUUCAUUAAACUUAGUGCAGACGCUAUCUAUAUAAAAGGAAAUAAAUGGUUAUACUUCAUCAUAUUCGUUUCUCAUAUUUGAUAUAUAUCAAUUUCAGCGACUAUUAUUCAACAUUGCCCGAAGCAAUAGGUGCCUCACUUUUACAAAGAAAACUUCCUCUAUUGAUAUUUCUCAAAUAUAAAUUCAUGUCAUGGACUCAUGGUUAACAACCGAUAGAUCCUAAAACAAUUAGAUAUCUCAGAUAUUGAUUGACCAAAUGGACAACCGAUGCUAUAGUAAGAGCUGUUGCUGUUAUCUUUUAAUUUAAAUAUACACAAACGACAAAAUGCUUAACUAAUCCACCACCCAGGCGCCGGGCCACAGAAAUGAAAUACCGCCUACCCCAACAUUUUGGAAUUAAAAAUCUACACCACCCAGAUCUUGCUGUGAUUUGGUAAAUCCCGAGAAAUUGACAACCUUCCUACGCUGGGGAGGCGUGGUUCCAUUCAAUGCCAACAUUUUCGGAUGGGUCCAGAGAGUUGUACAGUGACUUUUAAAUAAAGAAUUGUUUUAAACCUUGACUUUGGGCUCUUUAUCAGGAAUAUGAAAAUAUUGGGCAAUGACUAGAUUCGAGAGCAGGUUGCAUGCAUAGAUAUCGCAUUAAUUUUUAGCAAUCGUUAUGACGAAAGAAAAUCUGCAGAACCAAGCGAAUUUUCCUAGUCAUCAUGAGAGACAUUAGACAAGGUUUUCAAUUCAUAAAAUUGCCUUAUCAUCUGGAAUUAAAUAUUUUCAAGCUAAGGAUGAGGUUCAAUCCGUACGGGGCAAUGAAAAUAUAUGGAUGCCCUAUAGAGUGGUUGAACAUUCUACAGUUUCGUCCCUAUUUAUAGAAGAAGAUGAAAUUUUAAGCAAUUUGCUUCAAUGCAAUUUUAGCAUAUUUCAGCUAGUCAUAGCAACGUCUAAUUUCGUUGAUGUAGAAGAAGCUAACACCAAAGAUUCAUCUAGGUAGAAAGAAGUAUCGAGCAUGUAACUAACCGCAGAACUCACAUCUAGGGACCCUAUUGUAAAUAUAACAGGUGAUGGACAUAAAGAUAGAUAUGAGUAAAAGAGUGGAACAUAAAAUCCAAAUUUCAAAAGUAUGAUAGUUUUUUAGUGUUUCUUUGAAUCUCGUAGGAAUUUAGGUCAUUUUCAAUCUCAUCCAUGAGACAAGGUACAAUAAUUGUUGAAGAAUAAGAGUAUUGUUGGGCAGUUCGGCGAGCUAUAUAUAAAGAGAGAGACUUCUUAACCAUAUAAAUAUUAUCCUCUAUAACUCUAAAUUUUUUUUUCCUUUAUCCAAUAUAAAAUAUCACAAUCACUUUUAUGUAUGCACUCUUUUUAAUCACGUCGCAUAAAAUUACACCAUUUUCAAAGCUAAAUAAACUCCUAUAUAGGGGUCAUAUAUUGACUUCAAUACUCUUUGAAACGACUCACACUUAAUCAUAUAAACUCAUUAUAAUAAUGUAUUUCCUAAUUUCAUGGAAUUUCAAUAAAAUAUUUAUUACUUUCAAAUGGGAAUUAGAGAGGAAUGUUGUCUAGCUAACUCAUAAUUCUUCUUUAUAAGUUCAAAUUAGGUAUUUACUUCUUCCUACCAUUACCUCAUAUUUUGAUUGUUUCUUCGUUAAUAUAUAGUUGGUUAAACUAAUAAACUAGAGGUUAGGAUGGAGAUCAAUUUAGAUUAUGUUUGUUUUGAGUUUAAUAAACCCUUACGACUUUAAAAUGUGUUUAGAUAGUUAAGAGAAACUUAUACAUAUAUAAUAUUAAAAAAAUUUCCUCAUUUAAUGUGAGAUAUUAUAAUCAUCACUCAUGUAGACAUAAUAUAUUUGUUGUAAGUCAGAAGAUUGUAAAACCAAACAAAUUUUUUCAUUGAAAUAUAAUAUUAUUUGUAAUGGUUCACUUUCUCUCAUGGAUCCCAACUCCAUUAGGUUCUUCAUGAAGCUUGUUUCAGUUUAUUAACCACCGAUGUAGCAAAGAUGAUGAUAAGUAGUAUUUUUGUUUCUCAUAUGUUUUCAGACCUCAUCAAGCUUGAGUGCCUUAUCCCAUCUCUAACGCAUGUACCAUUGCCUCCAAAAUAUGUUGCCAGAUUAUACAUAAUAUCAUAAUUAUAGCUACUGAAGUCCAACGACUACCUAGCUAGUCUUCACUCCCAAAAACAUGAUGGUCACUUCUUUGAAAUAUAACUCUUAUCCUAGUGACUCAAACUCACCACCUCAUUGACAUCCGUCAUAAGAAUUUCAGAGACUCUUCAAAGUUUGAUCCACUUUUAUAGAUGAAUAAUGUAAAAUUCUUUUAUUCAAACAAAUUUGAUGAUCAAAUAUCUUUUCUUUCCUAAAAAUUAUAUUUCCUUUUUAUAAAUCUUAUUUUAAUGACCCAAUUACAGUAUGGUAGAUAUUGUUUGUUUCGAGUCCAAUAAACCCUUAUAACUUUAAAAUAUGAUUAAAUAGUUAAGAGAAACUUAUAAAUAUAUAAAUGUGAGGUCAAAUAAAUUUUCAUAUUGAGAUAAAAGAUUAACUUUAAUACUAUUUGUAAUGGUUUACUUUCUUUCAUGUAAACAUCAUCCACUUUAUACUCAAUGAAUCAUUGAAGCUUUAAAACAUAUUUACAUGAUUAAAAGAAACUCGUACAUAUAGUAUUAGAAUUUUUUUUUUCUGACCCAUGAUUUGCAAUAUAUGUAUAAAUACGUUUUAAAGUUAUGAGGAUUUAUUAAGUUCAGAGUAAAUAGUAUUUAUAUUAAAUGGAAUGACAUGUCACAUGCAAAUAAUAUCAAACUCAAUCUCCAAUUUUUAUAUAAGAGUUUGUUUGAUUUUAUAAAAAAUGUUUGUGUGUUUCAUUCUACAAUUCUGUGAGACACAACAUCCAUUUAAUUUAUUAAAGUCUUUUUAACUAUGUAAACAUGUUUUAAGUUGUUAAGAUUGAUUGGGUAAAAACAGAAGAGGUGAUUGUGUGUUUUAUCCUACAAUUCAAUGAGGCAAUGCCUAAUUGAUUCAUUGGGGUACUUUUAAUCGUUAAUGCAUGUUUCAAUGUUGCUAAGAUUGAUUGAGUGAGGAAAAUAUCUACAUAUGAAAGGCAACAGUUAGUUACACUUCAUUAUGUUUUUUUCUAAUAUAUUGAUAUAUGUCAAUUUCAGUAGUUAUUAAUUCAACAUCGCCCAAAGUAACCAAUGCCUCGCUUUUCCAAACAAAACUUUCUCUAUUGAUAUUUCUUAAAUAUAAAAUCAUGUCAUGGUAAGCAUCCGAUGGAUACUAAGACAAUUGGAUAGAUAUCUCAGAUAUUGAAUGGACCAAAUGGGGUAACGGAUGUGGUAGUAUACAAGCGCUGUAUAUCUUUUAAUUUAGAUAUACACACACAACGUAAUGCCUAAUCCAUCCAGCCGGGGGGCCGGCCAGAGAGAUAUAAAAUACCCCCAAUCCCAUCAUUUUGUAUUUUGUAUUGGAAUUAAAAAUCCAAACCCAGAUAUUGCUAUGAUUUGGUAAAUCCCGAGAAAUUGAGAACCCAUCCUGGGGGAGGCAUGGUCCCCCUAUUCAAUGCCAACCCUAUUUUCAAAUGGUGUCUAAAGAGUUGUACAGUUAACGGUGACUUUAAAAUAAAGAAUUGCCUUAAACCUUGAUUUUAGGCCCUUCUUCAAGAAUAUGAAAAUGCAUGUUGGGCAAUGAUUUAGAUUCGAAAGUGGGUUCUGCAGACAUCACAUUUCUGCAGAGCCGAAAAUAUUUACAAGCGUAGGACGAAGCUCAGUUCAGAUGGGCCUCGAAGAUGAAUUUUUAAGCAAUUUGCUUGAUACAUUCAGCAAUUGAUAAUUUAAAAUAAAAAAAAUUAGGAAAUAGAAAGUAAAACAUAUAUGGUUAAAACUUCAAUGCAAUUUUAGCAUAUUUGAACUAGUCAUAGGAGCGUUUAAUUUCUUUGAUGAAGAAGCUGAACACCAAAGAUUCAUCCAGGUAGAAAAAUGUAUUGACCAUCUAAUUGUCUGCAGAACCUACAUCUAAGUACCCCGCUAUAAAUAUAAGAGGCAACUUAGGUGAGGGACAUAUAGACACAUACGAAUGCCAUUGUAGAAUAUAAAAUCCAAAUUUCUCAAAACUAUAAGGUUAUGUUUGAAUCCAAAAAAAUAUUAGAGGAAGUGAAAAUGUUAAGAAAAAUAAUUUUUUAUGAUUAAUUUUAUUAUAAAAAAUAUAAAAAAUAAAUAUAAUUAAAAUUAGUUAGAAUUUUACAUAUUUUUAAAUUAUAUAAUUUGAAUUUAAAUAAAUAUAUAAAAAUAAGUCAUUAAUUUUAGAUCUAUUUCUUUUUUCUUUUUUUAUAUUCUCCCACAAAAUUUCAGUAACCGAACACAACCUAAUAGUUUCCACUGUUUCUUUGAAUUUCUCAACUUCAAAAUCUCUUGUCUAUGAGACCUCAGAGUAAUUAAUUCCUACCUCUUGGUGACUAGGCCAAGCGCAUGGAUAGGCACAUUGACCCACUUGUAAUUGCCUAGGCUAAUAGGCCAAGCUCAUAGCAAUUUUCCUUUUUUAUUUUUUAAUUUCGUCGUAGGACUUGGUCUCCACAAGGCACUAUAACGUAUCCCCUAAUUUCAUUUCAUGGAACUUUAAUAAAAUAUCUAUUGCUUUCAAGUGGGAACUGGAGAGCAACGUUGCCUAGCUAACUCACAAUCCUUCUAUAUAAGUUCAAGCUAGGUAUCUUCUUCCUUCCACCACUGCCCACUGCCUUGUAUUAGGAUAUCGUUUCUUAGUUAAUAUAUAGUUGAUUAAUUUCCAUCUCCAACUACUACUAUUAUUAGAAAAAUAUGGCUCUAACUGGCAAGCUAGAGGUUGAAAUGGAGAUCAAUUCACCUGCGGAUAAAUUCUAUAACAUCUUCAGGAGGCAAGCACACCACAUUCCUAAUAUCUGCUCAGAUAAAGUACACCAAAUUGAUGUACAUGAAGGUGACUGGGAGACUCCAGGCUCCGUCAAGAACUGGGGUUAUACUCUUGGUAAGGCAACCACAACUCAAACCCCAAAACCCUAGCACUAUUAGUCUGUAAAAAAAAAUGAUUUUUUUAGUUUUUCUAUUUCAUUUAAUUGUUUUUUUGUUUGGCAUUUUCCCCUUUAGAAUAUUAAUUUAACUGCAUUAAUUCGGAGUUGAUCCCAUCAUGUGGAAGUUUAUGCUUCUGUUAUGAAUACAGCUUUGUAUGCCUUCCUUAUGUUUAAUUCAACCUAAAGCAUGUAGAAUUGAUGGUCAAAGUCUAUGGGACCCUUUUUUCAUGACCGCCAUGCAUGGGGCUUUCCCAGGUGACUGCCCGCUACUAAAGGGGCCUAAAGUUUAGGUCCCCCGAGUUAGAACUUAGAAGAGGGAUUAUGAAUGAUCAGUGAAGUUGUAAGGUUUUGAUCUUCUUAGAUAUUACCUAGAAAGAGGAUUGACUUUACUUGACUUUUACCAUAUUGAUUUAGAGAUUGGCGAUUGCUUUAAAAGGUUGUGUCAACAGAAGAAAACUUAAAAAAUAUUAAGAAAAAUAAAAAAAAUGAUUUUGUUUUUAUAAAAAAAAUCAAAUAUAAUAAAAACGAGUUGAAAUUUUAUUUAUUUUUAAAUUAACUUUUAUAUAGAAGAAUUAAAAUACGUUAAGUAAAUUUGAAUCAAAAUAUAAAAAUAAUUAAUUUCUUAAUUUUAAAUUUAUUAUUUUUCUUUUAACUUCUUUUUUGUUUUUUCAUUUUCUUUUCUUUUGUAUUUUCUUCAAAUUUUUUUAGAACCAAAUAUAGUCAUUAUGAAAAGAUGGGCCACGAAGUGACUACGCAUGUCAAUUUGCUUGAGAUUUCGCAAUCUAGUAGUUUCAAAAUACUAUGCUUAACCCCUUGUUUUGGUUUGAAAUUACUAGGAGGGACUUCUAUGAGCCUUAAAGAGACUGUGGAAUCAGUAGAUGAUGAAAACAAGUCAAUCACUUUCAAGGUUGUGGAUGGAGAGAUCAUGAACCAUUUCAAGUGCUUCAAGUCCAACUUGCAAGUAAAAGCAAAGGAUGAGGGCAGCUUGGUGAAAUGGAGUCUGGAAUAUGAGAAAGUAAAUAAGGAUGUCCCAAAUCCUGAUGCUUACCUGGAGUUCGCAGUUAAUGUUACUAAAGAUAUUGAAAGCCACUACCUCAAGGCAUGACACCAAGGCCAUGUGGUAUCCUCGGUAGUAUUACUUCAAUAACGCUGGUGUUUGUAAUUUGGUUGAGUUGUAUGCUUUACCAGGAGUGGCCUUGUGAUUGGCUGGUUUCUUUUGUAAAGGCAUUAUCAUAUAUGAUGUAAAUACUGUACCUUAAAUAAAAAGAAAAUCAGCAAAGACCCUCCUUUUUAAUGUGGAUAAUUGCUUUUAAUGUCACCUUUGUUGAUCGGUUUACAAGACAAGAGUUAACAAGUAGUCCCUAUUUAUUAAAUAUAAGAAUUUUCUGUAUCCAUUAAUCAUCAUCAGUAAGCUAAUAAAAUGGCUGAUAUUUUUCUUAAUAAAAACAGCAACAGUUACUGAGUUUAUAUAUAGGACACCAGUUGCAGAUUAGAUUUCUUUGGCUUGAUUGUGAUCUUUCUACAUGUUGGAAAAAUAUUGUCAUUUGGUAUUUAAUAUCAAAUUUUAAAAAUAAUAUUUAAGAUAUGAAGAAAAAAACAUACAAUGAUUCAUAUUUUUAACUUUAAUAUGAUUUAAAGUUCAUCGAGUAACCGUUUUGAAAUCAUUCACCCUUGAUCUUCACUUUCCUAGUCUCCCUUUACACGUUCCUUAGUGGUGAGUAUGAAAAUGAUUCCAUUGAAUUGUAAGAAUGGAAAGAGGGAUAAAAAAUUCUUCUAUUUAUAAGCAUAGAAUGAUUCUUCUUAUCAGUGAACCAUUAACUAAAUACUUUAAACAUAUUAUUAAUUAAUAAUAAUAAUAAUAAUAAUUAUUAUUAGAAAAUAAAUUUCAUAAAUAUUAUAAAUUUAAAAAAGAAUCUAAUUUAAUUCUUAAAAAAUUUAUGCAUGAAAUUUUUAUAUUAUUUUUAAUUGUUUUCUAAGGGUUAUUUUAAGAAAUUAUUAUACAAACAUAUAAAAUAAUUAAAAAUAAAACAAUAGAUAUAAAAAUUAUUUUUAAAAAUAUUAAAAAUAAAUUCAAAAUAUUUUAAGUUGCCAAACAAAUUUUUUAUUCUACAAAAAUCAGAGAUAGUUUUCAAAAUCUCUUUUAAAAAACUAUUUUUCAGAAUUAUUUUAAAAAAUAGUUACCAAACAAGCCCUAAAAGAUUUAUAUAUAUAUAUAUAUAUGAAAUUAAAAAAAUAUCAAAUAAUAAAAAUUCAAACAAUGGUAAGGGUGUCACUAAUGAUCGGUUUGGAUUUAAACUAACAUUUUUUUAUAUUGAGUAAUUUAUUUUUUAUUCUAUAUAUUAGAAAAUUGAAUUUAAAUGUAACUUUUUCAAAUAAAAUAGUUAGAUCACACUUGAUAUAUAGUAAUAAUUUUUUAAAAACUAAUGGUCAUAAUUUAAAAAAAUGAUGAAAAAAAAAUCUCAAAUAUAUUGCAUAUGAAUGUAUAUAUUUAGUUUUAUACAACAUGUUAGACAUAUAUUAGUUAUUAACUUAUUAUAAUCUACUAAAAUAUUAAUUCUAUACGAGGGGAUUAGAUUUCUCAUUGUUGAUUUUAUAACCCUCAUUGUGGGAUUAUAAAAUGUCAUUGCAAUCACUCCCAAUUUAGUCUAUGCAAAUCAAAUAUAGAAAUGCAAUUUAUCUCUGUCACAAUUUGUUACACAAUAAUGAUAAUGGAUAAUAAAUAAAUAAAUAAAUAAAAUUAAAGAACACACAUUUAUGUAUAAAACUUUAGAUGAGAAAAAUCAUGGAUAAGGAAAAUGAAUAUCCAAUAUAUCAAAAGAUUGGUAUAAAAGAUGAGAAAUAUAAACAACUAUGAUAAAAAUAUAAUCAUCAUAACCUUAAAAUUAUGUGAAAGUAAUUAACAAAGUAGGUCCAUACAUAAGGACAAAGAGCCCCCUCAAAGGUAUCAAUGGUGGGGGUGUGGGGUGUGGGAUCGGAUCAAAUUCCAACGUUAUCAAUGGUAGGCUAGGGGAUCGGAUCAAAUAGAAUUUGGAUCGCCAAACCUUAAUACAUUUUAUGCUUUUUCUUAUUGGUUUAGAUUUAUGAUAAUCUCCUCCACCAGCAAAAUAAAGUUAUACCGGAGGAUUUUCUUUGUUUUGGCUGUCACACUUUCACUUCUUUGCUAAUAGCCUAACAUCAAAUGAGAAAAUAGAGACAUUUUAAAAAUGAGAACAAAUUCUCGAGGAUUUAGUUGUCUGCCACUAGACUAUAAAAAAUGCUUUCCUGUUAUUUUACCCCCUAAAAUAAGUUUGAUACAAUGCAUCUAUUUUCUGGCUCCGACAAUGUUUAAGAAUACAUCAACCGACCUCAAACCACAUUAUUUCGGUUUGAAAAGAAGGCUUUAUUAUGUCAGUAUGGCUGCUAAGAAGACUUUUGGAAUAUAAUAAAACAAGUCCAGCGAGUUGAUGGUUUGGAAUCGAGAGAUCAUGAAUGAUUUCCCUACUUUAGAGUCAAUAAUUAAGUGGAAUGUGAGAAGGUGAAUGAGGAUGGCCCGGGAUCCAAUGCUUACUAAACUAUUGAAGAUCACCUUCCUGAGGCAUAAUUCCAUUACUUUUCAUCGACGCUGCGAUGCUAUAAAAGAAUAUUAUAAAAAUGCAAGGGUAAUGAAAUAUUGUACAGCCUUUACCGUAUUGAAGAACGUGGACUGAUUGCUAGGGUACCCAACACCCACCAUAAUUCCCACACCAACUCCCAACCAACCCGAUCACGUAGGGCCUCACAUGGCCUCAUUAUCAUUUAUGUGGAAAGAUAAUGCUAAACUAUAUACGGGAUGGCCAUUCUACCAGCCAACCUGUAAUGAUUUUGAUAAAAGUAUACUAAAAAUAGAAGGAGAAAUUAAGUUAUCAUUUGAUAACGGUUUUUAAAAAUUGUUUUUAAUAUUUUAUAAAAUAAAAUUUUAUUUAGAAAUACAAAAUAUUUUUAACUUAUUUUUAAUAUUUUAUAUGUAUAUAUAUAUAUAUAAAGAGAGAGCGCUUUAUUUUUAAUUAUUUUUCAUAUUUAUAUAAUUAUUUUUUAAAACAAUUUCAAAAAAACAAGUGAAAAUAACUAAAAAAAUAUUCUUUGAGAUAAAGAUCAAAAAACAUAAAAUAGUUUUUUUUAUUAUCAAACAUGUUUUAUGUUUUCUAAUCUGUGUUUUUUUAAUUUGUUUUUUGUUUUCAAAUCUUAAGAUCACUUAAUUUUUUAGGGUUUUUUUUAAGAAAUAAUUAUAUAAAUAUAUAAAAUAAUUAAAAAUAAAAUAUUAGACAUAAAAAUUAUUUUUAAAACAUAUUUAAAAAUAUUAAAAACAAGUUUAAAAUAUUUUAAGUUAUAAAAUAAGCUUUUUUUUUUUUACAAGAAUCAUAAAAUAAUUUUUAAAAACUAUUUUAAAAUAUUAUUUUUGAAAAUAAUUAUCAAACCCCUUAUUUUCUAUUCUCAAAAAAUGUUUUUUAAUUAUCAAAUGUGGUGUCUAUUUAAAUUUAAGAUUUUAAAUUUUAAAUUUAGUUAUUUCCAAGUUAUGAUCUCUUGAUAUUAUUUCAACCUAUUAUUUAUUUAUUUGUUUGUUUUUCACAUAAAUAAACUAAAAUUCAAUUGUAUAACCCAGUAUGAAUCACGUGGGCCCUUAGUGAGGCUGGCUACAACUAAAUCAACGUUCUUUUGAUAAUCGAUUGCCUAUGAAAGAAAUCAUCACGCCUUACACACAAUAGAAUAAAUUAAUAAGAAAGUAAGAAGAUUAGAAAGAAAAGCAUCUUAGAGGAAGGGUUUUUUUUUUUUUAACUUCUUGGUGGUGACACUGGAUGGGCUUUUGAUAAUUGUACGACGAAUUUAAAAUUAAUGUUUUAAAAUACGGUAUUAAAAAAUAUUUUCAAAUUUAUGGUACUUUUUACCACUUUGAAACAUGUUUCUUAAAAAAGCAUAUUUCAUCGUUUUUAUAUUAAUGAUACACAUUCAAAAAAAAAAAAAUUAAAGGUGUCUUUUUGAAAUAUAUUUUUCAUAAUUUUUAUAUCAAUAACACACAUUAAAAAAUUUUGAAUUUAUAUUAAAAGUGUCUCUUCAAAAAACACAUUUUAUAAUUCCAUAAAAUUAAAUUUAUAUUAAAAGUGUCUUUUAAAGAUAUACUUUUUACAAUUUUCAUAUCAGUUAUAUAGUGAAAAAAUUGAAUUUAUAUUAAACAUAUUUCUUUAAAAGACAUUUUCUACAAUUUCAUAAAAUUAAAUUUAUAUUAAAGGUAUCUCUUUCAAUAAUUUUUGUAUCAAUCAUCCAUUGAAAUAAUUGAAUUUAUACUAAAAAUAUCUUUUUAAAAGACACCAUCCAUAAUUUCAUAAAAUUAAAUUUAUAUUGAAAUGUUUCUCUUUAUACUUUUAAUAUAAAUUUAAUUUUUUUAUAGGUGAUUAAUAUAAAAAUUAUGAAAAGUAUUUAUUUAAAAAAUAUUUAUUAUAAAUUCAAUUUUAUAGAAUUAUAAAGACGUCUUCAACGUAAAUUCAAUUAUUUUUUCAAUGUGUAAUUGAUAUGAACAUUAUGAAAAAUGUCCUUCAAAAGACACUUUUAGUAUAAAUUUGAUUUUAUGGUAUUAUUAAAAGUAUAUUUCUUUAAUAUAAAUUCAAUUUUUUAACAUGUAUAACUAAUGAAAAAUUAUAAAAAAAUUAUAUUUUGAAGAGAUAUCUUUAAUAUAAAUUCAAUUUUUUAACAUGUAUAACUAAUGAAAAAUUAUAAAAAAAAUUAUAUUUUGAAGAGAUAUCUUUAAUAUAAAUUCAAUUUUAUAGAAUUAUAAAAGAUAUCUAUUGAAAAAAUACUUUUAACAUGUAUCAUUGAUAUGAAAAAUAUAGAAAAUAUCUUUUCAAAAAACACUUUUUAAAAUGGUAAAAAGUACCAUAAAUUUAUCAAAAGUUUUAUAACUAUCAUAGAAAUUUUUUUCAAAAGUUCCAUUUUUUAAUAAUUAUUUUUUUAAAUAGCCGUACAAGUUAUAUAAAAAAAAACCCGAUACUCCAUAAAAUGUGAUCAAGUAGGAUUUGCAUCAUGCAACCUCAUACAAAUAAUAAAAAGCAUAAAUCACUUGAAACUUGAAAGUGAUUGGAAUUUGGCAGACUCUAGCUAGCUAGGUUGCCAUAAAUGACAUGGGUCAGUGGCCGACACCCACCAAACCCAGCACUUAAUAAUAUAAUUAAUAUACUAUUAUUAUAGAACCAUCGUUUUCAGGAUAGGGAGCAUCAAAUUAACCUCCCCAAGUCAAACUGCACAAUUUGUUUCAUCGAAAUCGAAUAUCUAAUAAUGAAUGAUUAUGGGUGAGAUUGCAAUCCGCCAAUCCUUUGCCUAGCUCUUUGAAAAUCAAUGAUGAUGCUUAGUAUUAAUAUUUUAUUUAUCUUUUUAAUAUGAAAAUAAAAAUAUCAAAAUAAUUUUAAACUUUUUUCGUGGAGAUAAUGCUCCCCAGUUAAGCUGCUUAUAAGGUAUAAAUUAAUAAUAACCUUUUAAUUUUAAUAAAAGCAAUUUGAUACAUAUCACAUCUUAAUUCACUUGAGUAAUAACUAUUUAAGAUUGGAUUUAGGUUAACUUAGAUUAAUUAGAUUGUAUUCAGGUUAAUUAAACCAUAAUCAUAUUAUUAUCAACAAUUUCUCACAACUAUCCUAUUUUUAAUAUGAAUUAUUCCUAGUUCUCAAAUUAUUGUUUAGGUAGUUUUAUUAUCUUAAAAAACAUCUUUUUUUGUCAUUGGUUCUGCAUGGUUAUUAAAUAAGAAAAUUAUAAUUAUCUUAUCAACUAAUUUGAAGACUUUUCACAAAUUCAUACUUUAAAAACCUCUUUCUUUGUCGUGGGUCCCUACAUGGUUAUUAAAUAAUAAAAUUGUAAUAAUUUUAUCAAUUAAUUUGAAGACUUUUCACAAAUUUAUACAAUACUAGUUAUCGGAAAUGUGUCACAAAGAAGAUGCCAAGCUAAAAGCAAAUCAUGAUUCAUUAUUUUUUUUCCCAAUUGGAGCUCGAUGACCCAAUCCGAAUGCAUUAACAUCAAAAUUAGUGUUUUAUACUAUUUUCAAUGAACCUUGUCAACAUGAUCGUGAAAUGAUUUAUGAUUAUUUUCAAUAAACCUUUCAUCGAAACUAUGUGUAGAACUGCAUGAAUAAAUAAGAAAUUUUCAUAGUUACAGAUUUGCAUUAUCUCACUCUAUAUGAUUUUAUAUAGUUUUUUUUUUAAUACUUCUGCAACAUUUCUUUAGAAAAAAUAUUGUAUCAAUAAAUUCAGUAAUUUUCAUCAAUUUCAAUCUUAUAAUUAAAUGAUACUUCUGUCAUGUAUAUCACCAUACGUGUCACACUUCAUUCAAGAUCAGGUUGAUUAGUCAUGUAUACCUGCUCCAUUAAUAAAGUAUUAAGUUUUUAUUUUAUUUUAUUAAAAUAAUAAAUAAAUAAUAUAAUUUUUUUUUAUUAGAGGUAGUUAGGUAUCAUUAAAUGAUUUGUUGUCCUGCCAUGUCCCCAAUUAAUAAUUUUAUACUUUUCAUUUUUUUCAAAGGAUUUAAAAUAUAAAAUAUUAAAGAUAAAAUAUCUGAAAGUACCGCUUCCAUACCCAAUCAAAUUUUAAAUCUAAAUUAUUGACAUGUGAGUGAAAUUUGGACUAUUAAAUAAAAAGUGAAAAAAAAAUAAAAUAAUAAAUAAUUAAAAAUGUUCCUGCAAGGAGAUGUGACUAAGGUUAAAAAAGGAGGGGAUAAGGAGCGGCUAGGAAUAUGUAAACAAAAUUCAAAUAAUUAAAAAACGAAAUGAUAACUUCUCAAUGAAAUUGAAUGUUUCAGUUCUAAAAUCCAAAACAAAAACUAUAGUGAAAGAAAAAUUUGAGAAAAUAUAGCAUGGUCUUCUCUUUAAUGAUUGAUAAAUAUUUAUAUAUAAAUAAAGUUUAUUUUCCAUUAUAAUUUAGAUUAGUCGAGUCUUGUUUUCUACUCAAAUUCAAACUUCACAUUUUGUUAUAAUUUAAUCUAAUAAUAAUUGUUUUCACAAGACAAGCUGAAGUUAUCCAUUAAAAUACAACUUUUAAUUAAUAGUUUAAAAAAUAAGAUAAAUUUGAAAAUAAUUUUAAAAUUUAAUAAGUAUAUAUAUUUUUAAAUAGCAUUUUUUUUUUUAAAUUGCCAAAUCUAUGCUCAGAAAAGAUCCACAAAAGUUGAUCAACAAAAGAUACCGAACAGGAAGUAGAUGAUAAUCCAUUAUUUUCUUCUUUAUUAAAGUUUGACAACCCAAUCUGAAUUCAUUAACGUGAAAAGCAGUGUUGUAUGCUCAUUUUCAAUGAACCUUGUCAACAUGCACGUCAAAAACAAUGAUUUAUUAACUACGUACAUGUAGAAUUCCAUGGGAAAAAAAAAAAUACAAUUAAGGCCUUGGGAGAUGAAUAAAAGCUUAACCUAAAAUUCAAAAUUCUCAAAACCAUGUUUUUUCACACCAAAAUGUUUCAUCCAGCCAACCUAAGACCGAUUGAAUCCUCCCUCUAAAGCACAUUGCCCAAGAUUACAGGCAACGUAGUAAUUACCUAAGCAAGUACGUCAGAAUCAUAGCAAUUUUUACCAAAGUGGGUAUCGGGAAGGAGCUUUGCCUAAUUCAUUCUUCGACAAGGUUAUCUACUUCCUCUCGUCACUGCCUUCUGUUUGAAUCAUUUGUAGUUAGUUUUAUCAAUCCAGCUAGUGUUAUUAUCAGAAAAACAUGGCUCUAACUGCUAAAGUGGAGACUGAAACAGAGAUCAAAGCACCUGCUGAUAAGUUCUUUAAACUCUUCAGGAGCCAAGCACACCACCUUCCUAAUAUCUGCUCCGAUAAAAUACACAAAAUCGAGGUACAUGAAGGUGACUGGGAGACUCAGGGCUCCGUCAAGCAUUGGAGUUACACCAUUGG
rnacentral:lncRNA from 1 species